AUCGAACGCUGGCGGCAGGCCUAACACAUGCAAGUCGAACGAGUGGCGGACGGGUGAGUAAUGUCUGGGAAACUGCCAGAUGGCGGGGGAUAACUACUGGAAACGGUAGCUAAUACCGCAUACCAUAAGAUGUUCCCAGAUGGGAGUAGCUGGUUGGUGGGGUAAAGGCUCACCAAGGCGACGAUCCCUAGCUGGUCUGAGAGGAUGACCGGCCACACUGGAACAGAGAAACGGUCCAGACUCCUACGGGAGGCAGCAGUGGGGAAUAUUGCACAAUGGGCGCAAGCCUGAUGCAGCCAGGCCGCUUGUAUGAAGAAGGCCUUCGGAUUGUAAAGUACGUUCAGCGGGGAGGCGUUACCCGCAGAAAAAGCGCCGGCUAACUCCGUGCCAGCAGCCGCGGUAAUAC
rnacentral:rRNA from 1 species